CAAUAAGCGGAGGAAAAGAAACUAACAAGGAUUCCCCUAGUAACGGCGAGUGAAGCGGGAAGAGCUCAAAUUUGAAAUCUGGCGGCAUCCUGUCGUCCGAGUUGUAAUCUAUAGAAGUGUUUUCCGCGCCGGACCAUGUACAAGUCCCUUGGAACAGGGCGUCAUAGAGGGUGAGAAUCCCGUCCUUGACAUGAUCUCCGGUUGCUAUGUGAUACACUUUCAACGAGUCGAGUUGUUUGGGAAUGCAGCUCAAAAAGGGUGGUGAAUUCCAUCUAAAGCUAAAUAUUGGCGAGAGACCGAUAGCGAACAAGUACCGUGAGGGAAAGAUGAAAAGCACUUUGGAAAGAGAGUUAAACAGUACGUGAAAUUGUUGAAAGGGAAACGAUUGAAGUCAGUCAUGCUCUUUGGGUUAAGCCUUUCGGGGUGUAUUCCAUUGAGUGGGGUCAACAUCAGUUUUGACCGCUGGAAAAAGGCACGAGGAAGGUAGCACUCUCGGGUGAACUUAUAGCCUCGCGUCAUAUACAGUGGUUGGGACUGAGGAACGCAGCAUGCCUUAUGGCCGGGAUUCGUCCACGUACAUGCUUAGGAUGUUGACAUAAUGGCUUUAAACGACCCGUCUUGAAACACGGACCAAGGAGUCUAACAUAUCUGCGAGUAUUUG
rnacentral:rRNA from 1 species